GUCUUGCUGUCACUUAUAGAUGGAUCCGCGCUGCAUUAGCUAGUUGGUAAGGUAACGGCUUACCAAGGCAACGAUGCAUAGCCGACCUGAGAGGGUGAUCGGCCACACUGGAACUGAGACACGGUCCAGACUCCUACGGGAGGCAGCAGUAGGGAAUCUUCCGCAAUGGGCGAAAGCCUGACGGAGCAACGCCGCGUGAGUGAUGAAGGUCUUCGGAUCGUAAAACUCUGUUAUUAGGGAAGAACAUAUGUGUAAGUAACUGUGCACAUCUUGACGGUACCUAAUCAGAAAGCCACGGCUAACUACGUGCCAGCAGCCGCGGUAAUACGUAGGUGGCAAGCGUUAUCCGGAAUUAUUGGGCGUAAAGCGCGCGUAGGCGGUUUUUUAAGUCUGAUGUGAAAGCCCACGGCUCAACCGUGGAGGGUCAUUGGAAACUGGAAAACUUGAGUGCAGAAGAGGAAAGUGGAAUUCCAUGUGUAGCGGUGAAAUGCGCAGAGAUAUGGAGGAACACCAGUGGCGAAGGCGACUUUCUGGUCUGUAACUGACGCUGAUGUGCGAAAGCGUGGGGAUCAAACAGGAUUAGAUACCCUGGUAGUCCACGCCGUAAACGAUGAGUGCUAAGUGUUAGGGGGUUUCCGCCCCUUAGUGCUGCAGCUAACGCAUUAAGCACUCCGCCUGGGGAGUACGACCGCAAGGUUGAAACUCAAAGGAAUUGACGGGGACCCGCACAAGCGGUGGAGCAUGUGGUUUAAUUCGAAGC
rnacentral:rRNA from 1 species